rnacentral:rRNA from 1 species
GACGAACGCUGGCGGCGUGCCUAAUACAUGCAAGUCGAACGCAGUGGGGACGGGUGAGUAACACGUGGGUAACCUCCCAUCAGAGGGGAGAACAGUUGGAAACAGGUGCUAAAACGAUACUGAUGGAUGGACGCGCGGUGCAUUAGCUAGUUGGUGAGGUAACGGCUCACCAAGGCCAAGAUGCAUAGCCGACCUGAGAGGGUGAUCGGCCACACUGGGACGGAGACACGGCCCAGACUCCUACGUGAGGCAGCAGUAGGGAAUCUUCGGCAAUGGACGAAAGUCUGACCGAGCAACGCCGCGUGAUUGAAGAAGGUUUUCGGAUCGUAAAGCUCUGUUGUUAGAGAAGCGGUAUCUAACCAGAAAGCCACGGCUAACUACGUGCCAGCCGCCGCGGUAAUUC